rnacentral:rRNA from 1 species
CCAAUAGCGUAUAUUAAAGUUGUUGCAGUUAAAAAGCUCGUAGUUGAAUUUCGGGAUCAAUAUGUCGGUCGUGCCUUCGGUACGUACUGGCAUCAUUGGUUUCUCCCUUCUGACAAACCAUGAUGUCAUUAAUUUGGUGUUAUGGGGAGUUAGGACUGUUACUUUGAAAAAAUUAGAGUGUUUAAAGCAGGCAUUAGCUUGAAUACAUUAGCAUGGAAUAAUGAAAUAGGACGUUUGACCCUAUUUUGUUGGUUUCUAGGAUCGACGUAAUGAUUAAUAGGGAUAGUGGGGGGCAUUAGUAUUCAAUUGUCAGAGGUGAAAUUCUUGGAUUUAUUGAAGACUAACUACUGCGAAAGCAUUUGCCAAGGAUGUUUUCAUUAAUCAAGAACGAAAGUUAGGGGAUCGAAGACGAUCAGAUACCGUCGUAGUCUUAACCAUAAACUAUGCCGACUAGGGAUCGGAUGAUGUUAAUUUUUUAAUGACUCAUUCGGCGCCUUAC